AAAAGGGGAGCAAUCCCCUGAGUACAGCGGCGCACGGGUGAGUAACACGUGGGUAAUCUGCCCUAGAGUGGGGAAUAACACCGGGAAACCGGUGCUAAUACCGCAUACGUUACGAGAUCUGCGGAUUUCGUAAUAAAAGGAGCAAUUCGCUCUAGGAGGAGCCCGCGGCUGAUUAGCUAGUUGGUGAGGUAAUGGCUCACCAAGGCUACGAUCAGUAUCCGGUCUGAGAGGACGGUCGGACACACUGGAACUGAGACACGGUCCAGACUCCUACGGGAGGCAGCAGUGGGGAAUUUUUGGCAAUGGGGGAAACCCUGACCAAGCAACGCCGCGUGGAUGAUGAAGUCUCUUGGGACGUAAAAUCCUUUCGACAGGGAAGAAACCCGCAAGGGUUGACGGUACCUGUAGAAGAAGCCCCGGCUAACUCCGUGCCAGCAGCCGCGGUAAUACGGGGGGGGCAAGCGUUGUUCGGAAUUACUGGGCGUAAAGGGCGCGUAGGCGGUUUGCUAAGUUGGAUGUGAAAACUCUGGGCUUAACCCAGAGCCUGCAUUCAAAACUGACAGGCUAGAGUUCUGGAGGGGAUAGCGGAAUUCCUGGUGUAGCGGUGAAAUGCGUAGAUAUCAGGAGGAACACCGGUGGCGAAGGCGGCUAUCUGGACAGAAACUGACGCUGAGGCGCGAAAGCUAGGGGAGCAAACAGGAUUAGAUACCCUGGUAGUCCUAGCCCUAAACGAUGGAUACUUGCUGUAGCUGGGAUUGAAUCCAGCUGUGGCGAAGCUAACGCAUUAAGUAU
rnacentral:rRNA from 1 species